GACGAACGCUGGCGGCGUGCUUAACACAUGCAAGUCGAACGAAGAGCGAUGGAAGCUUGCUUCUAUCAAUCUUAGUGGCGAACGGGUGAGUAACGCGUAAUCAACCUGCCCUUCAGAGGGGGACAACAGUUGGAAACGACUGCUAAUACCGCAUACGAUCUAAUCUCGGCAUCGAGGAUAGAUGAAAGGUGGCCUCUACAUGUAAGCUAUCACUGAAGGAGGGGAUUGCGUCUGAUUAGCAAGUUGGAGGGGUAACGGCCCACCAAGGCGAUGAUCAGUAGCCGGUCGGAGAGGAUGAGCGGCCACAUUGGGACUGAGACACGGCCCAGACUCCUACGGGAGGCAGCAGUGGGGAAUCUUCCGGAAUGGACGAAAGUCUGACGGAGCAACGCCGCGUGAGGGAUGACGGCCGUCGGGUUGUAAAGCUCUGUUAAUCGGGACGAAAGGCCUUCUUGCGAAUAGUGAGAAGGAUUGACAGUACCGGAAUAGAAAGCCACGGCUAACUACGUG
rnacentral:rRNA from 1 species